rnacentral:rRNA from 1 species
GACGAACGCUGGCGGCGUGCUUAACACAUGCAAGUCGAACGAUGAAGCCUUCGGGUGGAUUAGUGGCGAACGGGUGAGUAACACGUGGGCAAUCUGCCCUGCACUCUGGGACAAGCCCUGGAAACGGGGUCUAAUACCGGAUAAUACCUACUGGGGCAUCUUGGUGGGUUGAAAGCUCCGGCGGUGCAGGAUGAGCCCGCGGCCUAUCAGCUUGUUGGUGGGGUGAUGGCCUACCAAGGCGACGACGGGUAGCCGGCCUGAGAGGGCGACCGGCCAC